GUUUAUUAAGAAGGUGAUCGCAACAUAGCAUGAAUGAGAGUAGGUUGUCAUUGUUAAGGAUAAGCGUUCGACUAUUCAAAUUUGUCACUUGAAAUAUUUUUCUCUUCGGUGGACAAUAUUAUGAUAUACUUGUUUAUACAGUUGAAGGUUUUUUUUUAUGGAAACAUACAACCAAGCCAAGUUAGAAGGAGAAACCGUGAGGCUUGGCUUCCGCUACAAAUUCGGACUACGGUCU
rnacentral:lncRNA from 1 species